AAGGAAAGAAAAAUGUAGGAAAGAGGAGAAAAAAGAAGAAGAAAAAGAAGAGAAGGUUUGGAAGUGAAUGAAAAGGAAGAAGAAAAUGUCAGUACUGAACAUGGUAAUGGAUAGGUGGAGGCCUCAAUUAGAUGCGAUCCUCUCCACCUUCGUGUCCAUCUACCCUCACGAAACCUCACCUCUCCUUAACUCCUCUUCCUGCUUUUUCUUCAUUUUGAGUGCAUCUUUUGUAGUGUUACCAUUGCGGGAUGAAGGUGCAAUCUCUCUAGGUUUAUCGAAGCUUCCAGCUCUCUUUAUCGGAUCCUUAUUCCUCACCUUGAUUGCUGCUCCUUUAUCAACUCUCCUUUUCUCUUUCCCUAAUUUCUCUAAAUCCAAGGCUUUGUUUUUGAUACACAGGUUUUUUAGCGUUUCUCUUGUUCUCUUGUUCUUUCCAUGGCAUUUCUCUUCCUCUGCUUCUGCUGAGUUUUCGCUCUUCAAGUCAAAGGGUACUGUUGCUAUAUCAACUGAAUUGAAAGAGGGUUUGAAGGUUGAUGUUGACAGAACCAGCAGUACAUAUUCUUGAAGUUGGGAUGAUCAUGGAUGGUUUUAUAUUUCUGUCAGAAUUGGAUUGUUUCUCUGGGUUGCGCUGCUUAAUCUUAUUACCAUAUCGUCGACUUGGGCUAGGGUUAUUGAUGUGAUGGAUAGUGAGGUUCAAGAUUGUUUGGGUUCAUUGGUGCUGGUGCUACACUUGGUCAGCUAUUUGGAUCGUUGUUUGCUACAUCAAUGGCUUGGUUGGGUCCUUAAAAGUUGAUGCUGAUCAGCAUAGUGAGGCUGAUGGACGAUCAUCACCAGCUUUCAAAGUCUCUUCUCCAAAGUCUCCUUCAUCCAGGAUGAGGCCUCAGCUUUGGGUCAUCUUAGAUGGGUUUCGGCUUGUAUUAUCUUCAACUUAUUUGUUGAAUGUGUCUCUAUUCCUGUGGCUGAGUGCAGUUAUUUCUUCAUUCUUCUAUUUUCAG